rnacentral:rRNA from 1 species
GAUGAACGCUGGCGGCGUGCUUAACACAUGCAAGUCGAACGAAGCACUUUAACUUGAUUUCUUCGGAAAGAUUGUCAUUGUGACUGAGUGGCGGACGGGUGAGUAACGCGUGGGUAACCUGCCUCAUACAGGGGGAUAACAGUUGGAAACGACUGCUAAUACCGCAUAAGCGCACGGUAUCGCAUGAUACAGUGUGAAAAACUCCGGUGGUAUGAGAUGGACCCGCGUCUGAUUAGCUAGUUGGCGGAGUAACGGCCCACCAAGGCAACGAUCAGUAGCCGACCUGAGAGGGUGACCGGCCACAUUGGGACUGAGACACGGCCCAAACUCCUACGGGAGGCAGCAGUGGGGAAUAUUGCACAAUGGGCGAAAGCCUGAUGCAGCGACGCCGCGUGAACGAUGAAGUAUUUCGGUAUGUAAAGCUCUAUCAGCAGGGAAGAAGAAUGACGGUACCUGACUAAGAAGCACCGGCUAAAUACGUGCCAGCCGCCGCCGUAA